rnacentral:rRNA from 1 species
CCUACGGGUGGCAGCAGUGAGGAAUAUUGGUCAAUGGACGCAAGUCUGAACCAGCCAUGCCGCGUGCAGGAAGACGGCCCUAUGAGUUGUAAACUGCUUUUGUACGAGGGUAAACGCAGAUACGCGUAUCUGUUUGAAUGUAUCUUAUGAAUAAGGAUCGGCUAACUCCGUGCCAGCAGCCGCGGUAAUACGGAGGAUUCAAGCGUUAUCCGGAUUUAUUGGGUUUAAAGGGUGCGUAGGCGGUCGGAUAAGUUAGAGGUGAAAGCCCGAGGCUCAACUUCGGAAUUGCCUGUGAUACUGGUCGGCUAGAGAGUAGUUGAGGUAGGCGGAAUGUGUGGUGUAGCGGUGAAAUGCUUAGAGAUCACACAGAACACCGAUUGCGAAGGCAGCUUACCAAGCUACUACUGACGUUGAGGCACGAAAGCGUGGGGAGCAAACAGGAUUAGAUACCCCUGUAGUC